rnacentral:rRNA from 1 species
GACGAACGCUGGCGGCGUGCUUAACACAUGCAAGUCGAACGGACCUUCUGAUCUUUUGGUUGGUUGGUUAGUGGCGAACGGGUGAGUAACACGUGAGUAACCUGCCCUUCUCUUCGGGAUAACUGUCGGAAACGGUGGCUAAUACCGGAUAUUCAUCUGCUGUCGCAUGGUGGUGUGUGGAAAGAUUUUUUGGUGGGGGAUGGACUCGCGGCCUAUCAGCUUGUUGGUGAGGUAGUGGCUUACCAAGGCUUUGACGGGUAGCCGGCCGGAGAGGGCGAGCGGCCACACUUGGACUGAGAUCCGGCCCAGACUCCGACGGGAGGCACCCGUGGGGAAUAUUGCACAAUGGGCGGAAGCCUGAUGCAGCGACGCCGUGUGCGGGAUGACGGCCUUCGGGUUGUAAAACGCUUUCCACUGUGACGAAGUUGACGGUAGCAGUAGAAGAAGCACCGGCUAACUACGUGCCAGCAGCCGCGGUAAGAC